UGAACGCUGGCGGCGUGCCUACUACAUGCACGUCGAGCGAACGGACGAGAAGCUUGCUUCUCUGAUGUUAGCGGCGGACGGGUGAGUAACACGUGGAUAACCUACCUAUAAGACUGGGAUAACUUCGGGAAACCGGAGCUAAUACCGGAUGAUAUUUUUAACCGCAUGGUUCAAAAGUGAAAGACGGUCUUGUUGUCACUUAUAGAUGGAUCCGCGCUGCAUUAGCUAGUUGGUAAGGUAACGGCUUACCAAGGCAACGAUGCAUAUCCGACCUGAGAGGGUGAUCGGCCACACUGGAACUGAGACACGGUCCAGACUCCUACGGGAGGCAGCAGUAGGGAAUCUUCCGCAAUGGGCGAAAGCCUGACGGAGCAACGCCGCGUGAGUGAUGAAGGUCUUCGGAUCGUAAAACUCUGUUAUUAGGGAAGAACAUAUGUGUAAGUAACUGUGAACAUCUUGACGGUACCUAAUCAGAAAGCCACGGCUAACUACGUG
rnacentral:rRNA from 1 species